rnacentral:lncRNA from 1 species
CUCCAAUUGGAAGCAGCUGGUCCUCGUUACCUCUGGAGAUCAUAUUUAAGUAGGGGGUUUUCUUCCUGGGUUUUUGUGGGUAGUUGUUUUCCGUUUUGUCAAGUGUACCUGACGGAACUGUUGGCUGUCGUUUUGUUGUUUUGUUUAAGUGUCUUCAUUAAAGUUAAGAAAUUAGCACUCUACACGCUGCGCCUUGGUCCCCUUUAUACGACCCGCGUUACAAAGGCGCCAAGCUCUACGUAACUAAAUCGUGCGCAUGGGCGAAAUUUAAAAAGGCAGGCGCAAGCAAAGAAAAUAACGGUUUUCUCUCAGUUUGUACUUUGCAGCAGAAGCAAAAUAUCACCAAACAUGUAUGCAGUUGUGGAUUUUUUUGAAGAAGGGACAUCAGAAAUUGUUCCAGUGGAAAAUAUUGAAGUUUGAUGGGACGUGCGACAAUUUGAAAGAAUGUAUUGCUAUUUGGCAGCGCACGGGGAAGAGAUAUCCUGCCUACAUCAUAGCUCUGGAUGGGCUCGUUCAGAAGUACUCCUCAUUGAGAGACCACAGGGAUAUGUCUCGAGGACACUGCAGCCAUUUUGCUCCUCCUCUACAUCCUUCAAGAAUAUCCAAAUGGACUGUACGUCACAGACAUGUGUGUAAAGUUCCCAUCACCUACAAUAAGAAUAGAUGGGAAUCCCUUUUGCGUCAAAGUCUUCCUUGAUGGAGAGGAGUAUCUCACUGAAGAGCCUGAGGACAUCUCCAUGGGAUUGGGAGUGUCGAUGGGGUUCCAUUUCCUUUUCAAUAUUUAGUAUGCAGCAUCAGUGAAAAGCACUAUGCUGUGCAUUCAGAAAUGUGUUGUGGGAAUUGAUGAGGGGGGUAAAUUACCAACAAAUGUUGAAUGGCAAACUUUUUGCUGCAAGAGUGAUAUGGGAGACCAGAGCACAAAGUUACACAUGGUGAGUUGUACCAGCCAAAAUUACUCCAAUUAGAAACCACUUAGAAAGCUGUUAUUCGAUGUGCUAAUGAUUUGUUAGUGUCUCUACAUGCCUUUUAGUUUUAUUAUUGACCUGUGAAAUAUUUUUCAUUUAUCUAAACAUAUAAUUUUUAUCAGUAAGAUGGGGUCUUUUGAUUGGUAUAGUUGAAGUCAAUAAUUAUUGUGUUUUUGUUUAUCGAUUGCAUAUUUGGAUUUCUGAAACUUUCAUAGUCAAUCAAAUUAAUUUGUGUCUUUACAGGUUUGCCACUCAAUGUUUUUUAUUUAUUUAUUUCACCUUUAUUUAACCAGGUAGGCCAGUUGAGAACAAGUUCUCAUUUACAACUGCGACCUGGCCAAGAUAACCCUAGAGGUUAGGUGGGACGUUAGCGUCCCACUCUAUUCAACAGCCAGUGGAAGAGCGUGGCGCGAACUACAAAAACCUCAAAAAUGCUAUAAUUUCACUAUUUCAAACAUACGACAAUUUUACACCAUUUGAAAGAUAAGACUCUCGUUAAUCUAACCACAUUGUCCGAUUUCAAAAAGGCUUUACAGCGAAAACAAAACAUUAGAUUAUGUUAGGAGCGUACAUAGACACAAAUAACCACACAGCCAUUUUUCAAGCAAGCAUAUAUGUCACAAAAACCCAAAACACAGCUAAAUGCAGCACUAUCCUUUGAUGAUCUUCAUCAGAUGACACUCCUAGGACAUUAUGUUAUACAAUACAUGCAUGUUUUGUUCAAUCAAGUUCAUAUUUAUAUCAAAAAAACAGCUUUUUACAUUGGCGUGGGAUGUUCAGAAAUUGUAUUCCCACCGAAAACUUCCGGUGAAUUUACUAAAUUACUCAUGAUAAACGUUGACAAAAUACAUAACAAUUAUUUUAAGAAUUAUAGAUACAGAACUCCUUUAUGCAAUCGCUAUGUCCGAUUUUAAAAUAGCUUUUCGGCGAAAGCACAUUUUGCAAUAUUCUGAGUACAUAGCUCAGCCAUCACGGCUAGCUAAUUUGACACCCGCCAAGUUCGGGGCUCACUAAACUCAGAAUUAGUAUUAGAAAAAUUGGAUUACCUUUGCUGUUCUUCGUCAGAAUGCACUCCCAGGACUGCUACUUCCACAACAAAUGUUGUUUUUGUUCCAAAUAAUCCAUAGUUCUGUGCAAAUACCUCCAUUUUGUUAGUGCGUUCAGGUCACUAUCCAAAGGGUAACGCGCGAGCAUAUUUCGAGACAAAAUAUUUCAAAAUGUUCCAUUACCGUACUUAGAAGCAUGUCAAACGCUGUUUAAAAUCAAUUUUUAAUGGUAUUUUUCUCGUAAAAUAGCGAUAAUAUUCCAACCGGACAAUGCUGUAUUCAUUCAAAAAGGAAGAGAUGACAAGGUCUCGUGACCGCGCAUUUCCAAUCUCUUAGUCACUAGCCAGUCCACUGACAAACUGUGCUCCUGUUAUCUGCCCAGAGACAGGAGACGCCUCAAUCCGCUUUCUGAACGCUUUAGAGAGCCAAUGGAAGCCUUAGAAAGUGCUACAUAACCCCACGGGCACUGUAGUUUCGAUAGAGAAGCAAAUGGAGAACUACAAAUUCGCAGACAGGCCACUUCCUGCUUGGAAUUCUCUCAGGUUUUUGCCUGCCAUAUGAGUUCUGUUAUACUCACAGACACCAUUCAAACAGUUUUAGAAACUUCAGUGUUUUCUAUCCAAAUCUACUAAUAAUCUUCUAAUAAUAUUAAUAAUACGCAUAUUCUCGUUUCUGGGAAAGAGUAGUAAUCAGUUUAAAUCGGGUACAUUUUUUAUCCGGCCGUGAAAAUACUGCCCCCUAGCCCAGACAGGAUAAAGCAAAGCAGUGCGAAAAAAACAACACAGAGUAACACAUGGGAUAAACAAACGUACAGUCAAUAACACAAUAUAAAAAGUUCAACUGUUGGAGUCAGUUGGAGUGCUGGUGCGCACUGCCUUUGUAUCACAGGCUUGCAGAAGCUUAAGCUUAAUAAUAGACCCACCAAACCUUCAUAGAAGUUUCCAAACUUGAUUAGGGUGAUAUCAAAAGUAAGUCAAACCACAGGGAAUAUAGGAGCAGGCUAUUAUAUUGCAGUUGGAACUUAAUUUGGCCAAAGAAAAUGGCUCAACAGAAUGAAAUAUGGUUUAAACCUUCACAAAAGUUCUGAGCAGGCUAUAUUGCAGCAAUUAUCAACAAAGGCAGGUGCCUGCCCUACUCAACAAAUGACAGAAAUAGGCCUACUUAUCUUAAACAAAAUAUGAAUCACACAAUUAAAAAGACAGAUCGAAUUGAAUUUAGCCAGGGGCGUAACUGUCGCUGGGGACGGACGAGACAUCACCCCCCCACGUUCUGAAAUAUAAUUUUUGUCCCCCCCAGUUUUAUCAUUGCACUGUAAUACACGGCAAUGGUGUGCUUUAGGACCAUGCAGACACCUCAGAGCGGUUGGGUAGGCCGUUUUGUGGUUUCAGUUGGCUGGAUUUAGGACCGCAUAGACAUCACUGAGUGUGCGGACAGGCUGUGUGAAGGCAAAGCUGCUGAAAGGCUAGCGUAUAGGACCAGCAUGGGAGAGAUGCUGUCUGGGUGUGUUGCGCAAGUUGUAAAGGCAAGCAGGGCAGAAACUGGCUACGGAAGUAGCUGGCAAGGUAACUGCUGUUUGACAGAAGAAGCUAAAACAUUUAUUCCCAGUGCUGAGCUAGUAGUGUAACUGACAUGUAACGUUAGCUAAUGUUUCAUCCUCUCUCGACUGAAGUGAAUAAACUACUAGCAGCUAGUUGGCUAGCUAGUAGCUACCAAAGCCAGUUCAGCUCUAGCUAGCUAUCUGUCAGGUAGCGUAUCUAACAGCUGUUGUUUGUAUGGAAAUGUUUUGUAGCCUUUGUUAAUAAAGUACAUUUCAUGAUGUAUCAUUAGCUAGAGUUAGCCAAAAGUUGGCUAACGUUAGCUAGCUAGCUACCUAACUUUGGCUAUUAUUUUUUCCUCAAUCACACUAUACCUGAUUCAAAUGAUUAAACCAGCGGCCAAACGAUUGAAGACCAAUAUUCUGAUGUUUUUUCAGCGCAAUGUGAGUUAUUAGUCAGUAUAGCAAUGUAACGUUAUUGAUCUGUCAGUUUCCCUAGCUAAUUCCCUACUUUUCACACUGACACGGUAUAAACAGCUCUACAGGCUUCACUGUCAUGGUGCGCAGUCAGUAUACAAGAUUAUUCUAAUCAUGUCUCAGCAGGAUCAGAUGGUAACAGGUGUCGCUGCAGCAUCAGACAGGCAGGGAAGUCCCGUCUAUGGAGCUCAGGUGAAUUUUGCAGUAUAUUAGCUAUAACAGUCAGUGAAUGGAUACAAAGUUCUAUCUUGAGUUGAUGGGUAGGUUACAGUCUGGGAUCUGGGAAUAAUGGUCAUUUCAAUUAUUGAACCAUUGAUUCUAUUAUUGGAUAAUAUAAUGUAUACAUGUACGUGAAGGUAAUUCUUCAUCAUGCCUCAUCUGAGCAGGAUCAGAUGGUGACGGGUCUCAGCAGGGUCAGGCAGCCAGGGAAGGCCUGUCUGUGACAGCGCAGAGGUGAACCUUUGCAGAUACAACACUUUAUUCUCUCUGUGCAGCAAUUACUGGACAAGCAAGAAGCUUCAAAGAUUGAAACUAUUUUGAAGGCAGUCUGACAACCUCUAAAGUUUAUUUCCAAACUAUAUCAAGGGUUGAUAGGCUUUUCCUGAUGACACAAAACAUAUAAGAACAAAAAUAUAAGGAAGACCUGGUAGAUGCUAUUGAUUAUGAUGAAUGGAUACAGAUGUUAGAAUGCCCAGUCAUGUUCAUAUCAUCUCAGAUAUAAAUUACUGCCGUUUAAGACCAUCCAUAGAACAUACUAUAUGCCAGUGAAACUGAAUGUCAUGCACUCAGAAAUGUAAUUCUUCUGCUGGCUGAAUUCUGGCAAAGACUAUGUUCUUUUAUCUCAGCAUGUCUACAGAUUCUCCCUUCUUCCUGUUUCUGUUUGCUUGGAAAUGUUGAUACUGGAGACUUAUCUGAAGAAACUGUAACCUAGCAUUUAUAGCGGCUAAGAAAUAGAGUGCCAUUAAUUGGAAGGUUGGUUAUCCUCCAACAAUGGAUGGAAGAAAUGUCAAGUUAUGCAUCACUAGAUUUAAUUUAUUACAACAUUAAGGGUAUACUGUGCAACUUUCAUAAGGUGUGGAUGCCUUAUAUGGAAUACUGUACAACAAAAGGAGUCUUGAAAACAUCUCCAUGUCAGGGGAGAAACCUAUUUAGGCAAUCCCUAGCUGCUGGGCAGCUCAGUCCUGGCCCUGGGGGUCUGCCAUAUUGUUGGUGGUCACUUUGGCCUUCGCCUAACACACCUGAAACCAAUGACGACUGUUUUACCAAGAUCCUAAAGCUGACGGGGUGUGUUGGGGCGCUGCAGGGUGGGGUGACCCAGCUACAUUGUGUGAGAGUAAAAAGAGCUCUACAGUACUAAUACGCCUAUGAAUUAUGGGGAUACCUAGUCAGUUGUACAACUGAAUGCCUUCAACUGAAAUUUGUCUUCCACAUUUAACCCAACCCCUCUGAAUCAGAGAGGUGCGGAGGGCUGCCUUAAUUGACAUCCACAUCUUUGGCACCCGGGGAACAGUGGGUUAUCUGCCUUGCUCGGGCAGCACAACUGAUUUUUACCUUGUCAGCUCAGGGAUUCGAUCCAACAACCUUUCGAUUACUGGCCCUACACUCUAGCCACUAGGCUACCUGCCACUAUUCCUAUAUGGAGGAUGUACUGUUUCUGUGUGUUUAUACAUUGGUGUGUGUGUUUUUAUGAAACUUUGUUUUCAAAACUUUUCCCUUGAAAAAUACAAAAAAAAGAUGGGAAGGAAAUUGUGUUGGGGAGAGAGUUGAGUUAUUGACUAGACUGGUGGGGGUCUGGUGUGCAGGCGGCUCGGGCUGGCUGGGCGGUCUGGCUGAAAUUUUAUAGAGGAUGUCUUAAUAAAGACAAUCAAAAGUUAUGUCUUUGCAUUUUAUUUUUAAGAGUUGUUCAUUUGUUAGGCUAUUGGUUAAAGGUGCAACACAAUAUUGAUUAUUGCAUUAUCAUUGAUCUGGUUCAGUCUUAUCAAUCACGUAAACCAACACAAUCUCACACAAAAUUUGUGCAAAUAUGUACAAAACUUAUUUCAGCAGAUUUUGUGUGAAAAUACAAACAUUUUUGUGCAACUUCAUUCGUAGGGAAAAACUUCUGAACAAUCUGUUGAAAGUUAUUGGUGCAUUGCAUUUUGGGCAAUGGUGUUCUACAGUGCCUUUUUUUGUGUCCCACAUUUAUUUAUACAAAAAAAAAAAAAACAUAUUGUUAAUCGACCGAAAUACUCAUAAUAGUAGCCUUACGUUGUUUUUUUACUUGUAUUUAUGCCAAUGCUGUUUUCUAUGCUUGUUUUCGCUUAAUCAUUUGGGAUGCUGGUGCUAUGUCGGAUGUUAUAAGGGUUGCCAGAUUGGAGUAAAUAUCUGUAUUUGUCUUUUUUUGAAGUAUUGAUGAAGGUAUUUGAUUGGGGGAUACAUUUUCAUGAUGGGAAAUUCAUUCAUGAAUAAAUGUGCGGAAACAGAAGACCUGCAAAAAAAAAUCUGUUUAGUUUAAAUUCCCCUGGUGCAACUGCAUGGUAUUUGCAACUAUAAUGUGUCUGGACCAUGAAGAAUUACAGUUGUAUGAAAAAGUUUGGGCACCCCUAACAAUUUCCAUUUAUAAAUAAUUGGGUGUUUGGAUCAGCAAUUUCAUUUUGAUCUAUCAAAUAACUGAUGGGCACAGUAAUAUUUGAGUAGUGAAAUUAGGUUUAUUGGACUAACAGAAAAUGUGCAAUAUGCAUCAAAACAAAAUUAGACAGGUGUAUAAAUUUGGGCACCCCAAUAUAAAAAUCACAUCAAUAUUUACUAGAGCCUCCUUUUGCUAAAAUAACAGCCUCUAGACGCUUCCUAUAGCCUCUAAUGAGUGUCUGGAUUCUGGAUGAAGGUAUUUUGGACCAUUCCUCCUUACAAAACAUCUCCAGUUCAGUUAGGUUUGAUGGUUGCCGAGCAUGGACAGCCCGCUUCAAAUCAUCCCACAGAUUCUCAAUGAUAUUCAGGUCUGGGAUGGCCAUUACAGAACAUUGUACUUGUUCCUCUGCAUAAAUUCCCGGGUAGAUUUUGAGCAGUGUUUUGGGUCGUUGUCUUGUUGAAGUAUUCCCAAGAAUCUGCUGAUAUUGAGUGGAAUCCAUGCGACCCUCAACUUUAACAAGAUUCCCAGUACCGGCACUGGCCACACAGCAUGAUGGAACCCCCACCAAAUUUUACUAUGGGUAGCAAGUGUUUUUCUUGGAAAGCUGUGUUCUUUUCCCGCCAUGCAUAACAUCCCUUGUUAUGACCAAAUAACUCAAUCUUUAUUUCAUCAGUCCACAGCACCUUAUUCCAAAAUGAAGCUGGCUUGUCCAAAUCUGCGUUUGCAUACCACAAGCGACUCUGUUUGUGGCGUGUAUGCAGAAAAGGCUUCUUCCGCAUCACUCUCCCAUACAGCUUCUCCUUGUGCAAAGUGCGCUGAAUUGUUGAACGAUGCACAGUGACACCAUCUGCAGCAAGAUGAUGUUGUAGGUCUUUGGAGGUGGUCUGUGGGCGGUUUUUCUCACCAUCCUUUGCCUCUCCGAUAUUUUACUUGGCCUGCCACUUCUGGCAUUAACAAGAACUGUGCCUGUGGUCUUCCAUUUCCUCACUAUGUUCCUCACAAUGGACACUGACAGCUUACAUCUCUGCGAUAGCUUUUUGUAGCCUUCCUCUAAACCACAAUGUUGAACAAUCUUUGUUUUCAGAUCAUUUGAGAGUUGUUUUGAGGCCCCCCAUGUUGCCACUCUUCAGAGGAGAGUCAAAGAGAACAACAACUUGCAAUUGGCCACCUUAAAUACCUUUUCUCAUGAUUGGAUGCACUUGUCUAUGAAGUUCAAGGCUUAAUGAGCUCACCAAACCAAUUGUGUGUUCCAAUUAAACAGUGCUAAGUAGUUACAGGUAUUCAAAUCAACAGAAUGACAAGGGUGCCCACAUUUUUGCAUAGCCUAUUUUUCACAUCUGAUUUAA